UGCAGUCAAGUCAAAUUCAGUGCCCGUUCCUGUCAUAGCGGGGGCUGGCCCAGAUGGCUGCCACAGCAAGCUCGACAGCUCAUGGGCCCUGGGUCGCCUAUCCUGGGACCUGGGGAUAGUUUGACUGUGGACACUA
ensembl:snoRNA SNORA5C small nucleolar RNA, H/ACA box 5C